rnacentral:rRNA from 1 species
GAUGAACGCUAGCGGGAGGCUUAAUACAUGCAAGUCGAGGGGUAACAGGGGCUUCGGCCCGCUGACGACCGGCGCACGGGUGAGUAACGCGUACGCAACUUACCUCCAAGCGAGGGAUAGCCCUGGGAAACUGGGAUUAAUACCUCAUGUGAUUAUGAUGCCGCAUGGUGUUAUAAUUAAAGUUCAGGCGCUUGGAGAUGGGCGUGCGUCCUAUUAGCUAGUUGGUGAGGUAACGGCUCACCAAGGCGACGAUAGGUAGGGGGCGUGAGAGCGUGGCCCCCCACACGGGUACGUGAGACACGGACCCGACUCCUACGGGAGGCAGCAGUAAGGAAUAUUGGACGAAUGGGCGGCAAGACCUGAUCCAGCCAUCCCGCCGUGCAGGA